ACCGACAGCUAAGGUCCCAAAGUACGUGUUAAGUGGAAAAGGAUGUGGGAUUUCAUAGACAACUAGGAUGUUGGCUUAGAAGCAGCCAUACAUUUAAAGAGUGCGUAAUAGCUCACUAGUCGAGAAAACCUGCGCCGAAAAUGUAACGGGGCUAAAACACGACACCGAAGCUACGGAUUCCUUACAAAGUAAGGAGUGGUAGAGGAGCAUCCUGCAAGGACGAAGCCAAAGUGAGAGCGAUGGUGGACGAAACAGGAGAGAGAAUGCCGGAAUGAGUAGCGAGAUACAUGUGAGAAACAUGUAGGCCGAAUAUCUAAGGAUUCCUGGGUAAAGCUAAUCUUCCCAGGGUUAGUCGGGGCCUAAGGCGAGGACGAAAGUCGUAGUCGAUGGAUAACAGGUUGAUAUUCCUGUACUACACAUAAUCAGAACUGUGGGGACGCAGAAGGAUAGGGAAACCGGGGAAUGGAAAGACCCGGUCAAGCGUAAAGCUGUGGGAGAUAGGCAAAUCCGUCUUCUGUAAGUGAAACGUGAUGAGGACUGAAAAAAAGUAAGGAAGUUUCCGAAUCCACACUGCCGAGAAAAGCCGCUAUUGCGUUAUGUGUACCCGUACCGUAAACCGACACAGGUAGAUGAGGAGAAAAUCCACAGGCCGACGGGAGAAGUGUUGUUAAGGAACUCGGCAAAAUGACCCCGUAACUUCGGGAUAAGGGGAGCCUCGCAAGAGGCCGCAGAAAAGAGGCACAAGCAACUGUUUAGCAAAAACACAGGUCUAUGCGAAACCGUAAGGUGAAGUAUAUGGGCUGACGCCUGCCCGGUGCUGGAAGGUUAAAAGGAGAGGUCAGCGCAAGCGAAGCUUUGAAUUCAAGCCCCAGUAAACGGCGGCCGUAACUAUAACGGUCCUAAGGUAGCGAAAUUCCUUGUCAGGUAAGUUCUGACCCGCACGAAAGGCGUAAUGAUUUGUGCACUGUCUCGACAACACGCCCGGUGAAAUUGAAGAACCAGUGAAGAUACUGGUUACCCGCAACAGGACGGAAAGACCCCAUGGAGCUUUACUGCAGCCUGAUACUGGGAUUCGAUGAUAUAUGUACAGGAUAGGUGGGAGGCUAAGAAGCGAGAACGCUAGUUUUCGUGGAGCCGCCGGUGGGAUACCACUCUUAUGUCAUUGAAUUUCUAACCUGCAUCCGUAAUCCGGGUGAGGGACAAUGUCAGGCGGGCAGUUUGACUGGGGCGGUCGCCUCCUAAAAGGUAACGGAGGCGCUCGAAGGUCACCUCAGAAUGAUUGGAAACCAUUCAAAGAGUGUAAAGGCAAAAGGUGGCUUGACUGCGAGAGCGACGGCUCGAGCAGGUACGAAAGUAGGACUUAGUGAUCCGGUGGUAAUAAGUGGGAAUGCCAUCGCUCAACGGAUAAAAGCUACCCUGGGGAUAACAGGCUU
rnacentral:rRNA from 1 species